rnacentral:rRNA from 1 species
UACGGGAGGCAGCAGUGGGGAAUAUUGCACAAUGGGCGAAAGCCUGAUGCAGCUAUGCCGCGUGUAUGAAGAAGGCCUUAGGGUUGUAAAGUACUUUCAGCAGGGAGGAAGAAAUAAAACUAAUAAUUUUAUUUUGUGACGUUACCUGAAGAAGAAGCACCGGCUAACUCCGUGCCAGCAGCCGCGGUAAUACGGAGGGUGCAAGCGUUAAUCAGAAUUACUGGGCGUAAAGAGCGCGUAGGUGGUUUUUUUAAAGUCAGAUGUGAAAUCCCCUAGGCUUAACCUAGGAACUGCAUUUUGAAACUGAAAAACUGAGUAUCGUAGAGGGAGGUAGAAUUCUAGGUGUAGCGGUGAAAUGCGUAGAUAUCUGGAGGAAUACCUGUGGCGAAAGCGGCCUCUAAACGAAUACUGACACUGAGGUGCGAAAGCGUGGGGAGCAAACAGGGAUUAGAUACC